rnacentral:rRNA from 1 species
UACGUAGGUGGCGAGCGUUGUCCGGAUUUACUGGGCGUAAAGAGCGCGCAGGCGGUCGGAUCAGUCGAAUGUGAAAGCCCCCGGCUCAACUGGGGAGGGUCAUUCGAUACUGUCCGACUCGAAGGCAGGAGAGGGAAGCGGAAUUCCCGGUGUAGUGGUGAAAUGCGUAGAUAUCGGAAGGAACGCCGGUGGCGAAAGCGGCGCGCUGGACCUCUCCUGACGCUGAGGCGCGAAAGCCAGGGGAGCAAACGGGG